rnacentral:pre_miRNA from 1 species
UCUCCAUUUCGCCAGCUCUCUCGUCGGUCAGAGAGGCGAGAGAGCAGGCUAAAUGAGGAGA